AGAAAAGACUGUUAAGCUUCUAACUUAAUUUUUGGUGUAACCACUUUUCUU
rnacentral:tRNA from 1 species